AUUGAACGCUGGCGGCAUGCCUUACACAUGCAAGUCGAACGGUAACAGGUCUUCGGAUGCUGACGAGUGGCGAACGGGUGAGUAAUACAUCGGAACGUGCCUAGUAGUGGGGGAUAACUACUCGAAAGAGUGGCUAAUACCGCAUGAGAUCUACGGAUGAAAGCAGGGGAUCGCAAGACCUUGUGCUACUAGAGCGGCCGAUGGCAGAUUAGGUAGUGGGUGGGAUAAAAGCUUACCAAGCCGACGAUCUGUAGCUGGUCUGAGAGGACGAUCCGCCACACUGGGACUGAGACACGGCGCAGACUCCUACGGGAGGCAGCAGUGGGGAAUUUUGGACAAUGGGCGCAAGCCUGAUCCAGCAAUGCCGCGUGCAGGAUGAAGGCCUUCGGGUUGUAAACUGCUUUUGUACGGAACGAAAAGCCCUGGGUUAAUACCCUGGGGUCAUGACGGUACCGUAAGAAUAAGCCCCGGCUAACUACGUGCCAGCCGCCGCGGUAACAC
rnacentral:rRNA from 1 species